CGCGUAGGUGGUUGUGAUAGUCAGAUGUGAAAUCCUUUGGCUUAACUGAAGAACUGCAUCUGAAACUUCACAACUCGAGUACAGGAGAGGGAAACGGAAUUCCCGGUGUAGAGGUGAAAUUCGUAGAUAUCGGGAGGAACACCAGUGGCGAAGGCGGUUUCCUGGCCUGAUACUGACACUGAGGCGCGAAAGCGUGGGGAGCAAACA
rnacentral:rRNA from 1 species